UUUAUUGGAGAGUUUGAUCCUGGCUCAGGACGAACGCUGGCGGCAUGCCUAAUACAUGCAAGUCGAGCGGACUUGAUGAGAAGCUUGCUUCUCUGAUGGUUAGCGGCGGACGGGUGAGUAACACGUAGGCAACCUGCCCUCAAGCUUGGGACAACUACCGGAAACGGUAGCUAAUACCGAAUACUUGCUUUCUUCGCCUGAAGGAAGCUGGAAAGACGGAGCAAUCUGUCACUUGAGGAUGGGCCUGCGGCGCAUUAGCUAGUUGGUGAGGUAACGGCUCACCAAGGCGACGAUGCGUAGCCGACCUGAGAGGGUGAUCGGCCA
rnacentral:rRNA from 1 species